CCUACCGGAGGCAGCAGUGGGGAAUUUGGACAAGGGGGGAAAGCCUGAUCCAGCAAUGCCGUGUGGGGAAGAAGGCCUUCGGGUGUAAAGCUAUAUAUCUGGGAAGAAGGGGAGCGGUAAUAGGUGGAAAUGACGGUACCCGAAGAAUAAGCAUGCUAUUUCUGU
rnacentral:rRNA from 1 species